CAAAAACAUGAAGUGGCAUAAAGGAAAGCGCCAAAGCACCAGUGUCUGAGUCCUCAAAGGAUCGGCCAUGGGGAGGGAGGGAGAGGGUGAAAGCAGAGGCCUGGAGAAGUGAGAGAAAAGGCCAGAGGCCACUCCAGGACAAGCUGAGAGCAGGAACGAAUGCUGAGGGGAGGGAGGAGGGGCUCAGUAGGAAGAGCCUGGGACUGCAGUACCACCGUAAGGAAUCUGCACAUCACGGUGAGCCCUAAGGCGGCAUAUCUCAUGGCCAGGGUCCCACGGCGGGGACAAAUGCUCGCACACUGGCUGAGCUCGGGCCAGGGAAGGGUGGCCUCAGCCCAAAGCCUACUGUGGGCCUGAGGGGUGGCAGCUGGGACAUCAGUCAACUCUGCUCCGCGGCUGGAGAGCCGGCCGUGGGCUCUGCUGUCUGCCAGAUGCAAGCAUACGCCGUGAGGUCCCGUUUCUAUGGGGUUCCAGGAAAGAAAAUCUAAUCUUUAGUGAAAUAAAGCAGACCCAGGCCCUUCCUAGAUCCAGGACAGAGACGGGCGAGGAGGGACUGAGAACAGGCAAGAGUUAAGUUUUGGGACUGUGUAAAUGUACUACGCCUUGAUGGUGUGAUUCACACCCAUAUGAUGCCAGAGCUCAUUGGAUUCCACUCCCGCUGCGUGUGCUCUCAUACAGGGGCACCUCCCGAGCCUCUAAGUGGACCCUGGGACUGCGCCCCUCUGACCACGGCGCGGCUGCUCCAAGACACGCGGUACACCAACGGCGCACCCUGCGUGCACACCUGGCCUCGUACCUGCCGUCCAGGUGAGAGAACAGCCACAGGCUUAGCCGGGUGCGUGGGCCGAGGUGUGCUGCAGCUGGCGGAGCGGGGCAUCCGAGGCUCGCGUUGUCUGCUGGCAUUUAUUUCUGUGCUGAGAAAUGGGAGAAAACUGGGUGUGGGGGGUCCUUUGUAAAGAAUGACACACCUCAAAGUAUUUGGGACAUGAGUGAAGCAACGAUUCCCUCAGGGAACGGCUUCAAC
rnacentral:lncRNA from 1 species